rnacentral:tRNA from 1 species
GGCCCGGUGGCGCAACGGUAGCGCGUCUGACCCCAGAUCAGAAGGUUGCGUGUUCGAAUCACGUCCGGGCACA